GUGCGCAGGCGGUUGUGCAAGACAGAUGUGAAAUCCCCGGGCUCAACCUGGGAAUUGCAUUUGUGACUGCACGGCUAGAGUGUGUCAGAGGGGGGUAGAAUUCCACGUGUAGCAGUGAAAUGCGUAGAUAUGUGGAGGAAUACCGAUGGCGAAGGCAGCCCCCUGGGAUAACACUGACGCUCAUGCACGAAAGCGUGGGGAGCAAACAGGAUUAGAUACCCUGGUAGUCCACGCCCUAAACGAUGUCUACUAGUUGUCGGGUCUUAAUUGACUUGGUAACGCAGCUAACGCGUGAAGUAGACCGCCUGGGGAGUACGGUCGCAAGAUUAAAACUCA
rnacentral:rRNA from 1 species